rnacentral:rRNA from 1 species
CAACAGGGAUUACCUCAGUAACGGCGAGUGAAGCGGUAACAGCUCAAAUUUGAAAUCUGGCUCCUUCGGAGCCCGAGUUGUAAUUUGUAGAAGAUGCUUUGGGUGUGGGCCCGGCCUAAGUUCCUUGGAACAGGACGUCGUAGAGGGUGAGAAUCCCGUAUGCGGCUGGCGCCCGCGCCCGUGUAAAGCUCUUUCGACGAGUCGAGUUGUUUGGGAAUGCAGCUCUAAAUGGGUGGUAAAUUUCAUCUAAAGCUAAAUAUUGGCCAGAGACCGAUAGCGCACAAGUAGAGUGAUCGAAAGAUGAAAAGCACUUUGGAAAGAGAGUUAAACAGUACGUGAAAUUGUUGAAAGGGAAGCGCUGGCAACCAGACUUGGGCGCUGUUGAUCCGUCAGGGUUCUCCCUGGGGCACUCGGCAGCGCGCAGGCCAUCAUCGGUUUGGGGGGUUGGAGAAGGACUGGUGGAAUGUGGCUGCCCUCGGGCAGUGUUAUAGCCACCGGUGGCAUGCAGCCUCCCCGGACCGAGGACCGCGCUUCGGCUAGGAUGCUG